GUGCUCGCUUCGGCAGCACACAGACUAAAACGGGAACGAUACAAAGAUUGGCAUGGCCCCUGCGCAAGGAUGACACACAAAUUCAUGAAGCGUUCUUAAAAUUU